GUGCUUGAAGAGGUAGCUAGCAAGAAGCACAGCAGGCAUAAAGCUGGUGCAUUUCUGGGCUGGGCUGAGCCACCCUCUCUAAAGUUUUGGCAGAAGCCACAGCACCAAACCCAGGUUACAGUGGUGGUGGUGGAAUUCAGAUGACAAGAUGCCACCUUCAGACCUCAGGUUGGAGCAGCAAAAUUCACAAACCGAAGUUGCCCAUUCAUGUGCAAGACAUCCACGGCAGGAUUAAUAAGUGGUAAUUUAUACUCCAGGGCAAAUUGAAGUGUUAAUUCUUGCGGAAGUUCUGUGUAAACUGCCACAGCAGGUCCCAAUCUGGAUCAUGAGUACAAUGUGGAGAUUGAGCCUUUUGGCCCCGUUGUGGUCCCAGCCCAGAUGGGAGGCCUGCAGCUGCUAUCCAUCCCGGGAAGGAAGCUUUCAUUGGUGCUGAAUAUCCAGAUCACCAUGUGUAGAUCUCUGUUUACUUCUAGUGAUAUGUUUGCCUCUGAUAAUAUAUGUUCUAUUCUUGUUCUCUUGUUUGCCAUUAAUUUUAUCUUUUUCUAUAUUGUUGUUUCUCUGCACAUAAACACCUGCAUUUUGCACAGGUCCAAAAAAUUAA